rnacentral:lncRNA from 1 species
CCACGUGGCGGCCACGUUGGGCACGUGACGUUACCGUUUUGGGGCGGUCUCUCUCUCUCUCGACACAAAAAUACUAAACAAAUUAAAUUAUUGUGUUGUAGGGACGACAUGACAGGUGUCGAAGGCUGGAAACGUCGUGGCUGUCUUUCACGGUCACCGUCGGAACAGUCGGAAAAAGCUUUUAUUAAGGCUGGCAAGCUGGUUGGUGGCGACACGUGUCCCUCAAUCAUUCCGUUAUGUUGAAGAUAUCUUCUGCUAAUUUCUCUUUUUCGUUUUCGUUUAGGACUCUUUCCUUUUAUAGAACAGUCUUAUU